CCGGUAACCUAUCAGUGAUGAGGAGGUAAAGUGGCACCUCUGGAGGAUACAAAUUACCAAAGCCAGCAAAAUCGCCAUGAGGAAGGACACAAGAACCCUGACACCAGUAUCCUAAGAGACAGAAGUAGUGAAGGACAACACCUCCAUGACUGAAAGUAUAUGCCGUCUGCCAGCCCAGCACCUGCCUUCUGGCAGAAUCCCC